rnacentral:rRNA from 1 species
GUCGAACGCUGGCGGCGUGCUUAACACAUGCAAGUCGAACGGAAAGGCCCUGCUUUUGUGGGGUGCUCGAGUGGCGAACGGGUGAGUAACACGUGAGUAACCUGCCCUUGACUUUGGGAUAACUUCAGGAAACUGGGGCUAAUACCGGAUAGGAGCUCCUGCUGCAUGGUGGGGGUUGGAAAGUUUCGGCGGUUGGGGAUGGACUCGCGGCUUAUCAGCUUGUUGGUGGGGUAGUGGCUUACCAAGGCUUUGACGGGUAGCCGGCCUGAGAGGGUGACCGGCCACAUUGGGACUGAGAUACGGCCCAGACUCCUACGGGAGGCAGCAGUGGGGAAUAUUGCACAAUGGGCGGAAGCCUGAUGCAGCAACGCCGCGUGCGGGAUGAUGGCCUUCGGGUUGUAAACCGCUUUCGCCUGUGACGAAGCGUGAGUGACGGUAAUGGGUAAAGAAGCACCGGCUAACUACGUGCCAGCAGCCGCGGUGAUACGUAGGGUGCGAGCGUUGUCCGGAUUUAUUGGGCGUAAAGGGCUCGUAGGUGGUUGAUCGCGUCGGAAGUGUAAUCUUGGGGCUUAACCCUGAGCGUGCUUUCGAUACGGGUUGACUUGAGGAAGGUAGGGGAGAAUGGAAUUCCUGGUGGAGCGGUGGAAUGCGCAGAUAUCAGGAGGAACACCAGUGGCGAAGGCGGUUCUCUGGGCCUUUCCUGACGCUGAGGAGCGAAAGCGUGGGGAGCGAACAGGCUUAGAUACCCUGGUAGUCCACGCUGUAAACGGUGGGUACUAGGUGUGGGGUCCAUUCCACGGGUUCCGUGCCGUAGCUAACGCUUUAAGUACCCCGCCUGGGGAGUACGGCCGCAAGGCUAAAACUCAAAGGAAUUGACGGGGCCCCGCACAAGCGGCGGAGCAUGCGGAUUAAUUCGAUGCAACGCGUAGAACCUUACCUGGGUUUGACAUGGAUCGGGAGUGCUCAGAGAUGGGUGUGCCUCUUUUGGGGUCGGUUCACAGGUGGUGCAUGGCUGUCGUCAGCUCGUGUCGUGAGAUGUUGGGUUAAGUCCCGCAACGAGCGCAACCCUUGUUCACUGUUGCCAGCACGUUAUGGUGGGGACUCAGUGGAGACCGCCGGGGUCAACUCGGAGGAAGGUGGGGAUGACGUCAAGUCAUCAUGCCCCUUAUGUCCAGGGCUUCACGCAUGCUACAAUGGCUGGUACAGAGAGUGGCGAGCCUGUGAGGGUGAGCGAAUCUCGGAAAGCCGGUCUCAGUUCGGAUUGGGGUCUGCAACUCGACCUCAUGAAGUCGGAGUCGCUAGUAAUCGCAGAUCAGCAACGCUGCGGUGAAUACGUUCCCGGGGCU